GACGAACGCUGGCGGCGUGCCUAAUACAUGCAAGUAGAACGCAGUUGCGAACGGGUGAGUAACGCGUCGGUAACUGCCUCCUAGAUCGGGAUAACUCUUGGAAACGAUAGCUAAUACCGCAUACUGUGAGAUGGACCUGCGGUGUAUUAGUAAGGUUGUGAGGUAAAGGCCCACCAAGGCGACGAUACAUCGCCUAACUGAGCGGGUGAUCGGCCACCCUGGGAGUGGUACGCGGACCAGACUCCGAGGAGAGGCAGCAGUAGGGAAUCUUCUGCAAUGGACGGAAGUCUGACCGAGCAACGACGCGUGAGUGAUGAAGGUUGUCGGAUCGUAAAGCUCUGUUGUUAGAGAGGCGGUAACUGACCAGAAAGGGACGGCUAACUACGUGCCAGCAGCCGCGGUAAUUC
rnacentral:rRNA from 1 species